rnacentral:rRNA from 1 species
GGAUUCCCCUAGUAACUGCGAGUGAAGCGGGAAAAGCUCAAAUUUAAAAUCUGGCGUGCCUCUGGUCGUCCGAGUUGUAGUCUGGAGAAGCGUUUUCCGUGCUGGACCGUGUACAAGUCCCUUGGAACAGGGCGUCAUAGAGGGUGAGAAUCCCGUCUUUGACACGGACUACCAGUGCUUUGUGAUGCGCUCUCAAAGAGUCGAGUUGUUUGGGAAUGCAGCUCAAAAUGGGUGGUAAAUUCCAUCUAAAGCUAAAUACAGGCGAGAGACCGAUAGCGAACAAGUACCGUGAGGGAAAGAUGAAAAGCACUUUGGAAAGAGAGUUAAACAGUACGUGAAAUUGCUGAAAGGGAAACGCUUGAAGUCAGUCGCGUCUGCCGGGACUCAGCCUUGCUUCUGCUUGGUGCAUUUUCCGGUCGACGGGCCAGCAUCGAUUUCGACCGUUGGAAAAAGGUUGAGGGAAUGUGGCAUCUUCGGGUGUGUUAUAGCCCUCAGUCGUAUGCAACGGUUGGGAUCGAGGACCGCAGCACGCCUUUAUGGCCGGGGUUCGCCCACGUUCGUGCUUAGGAUGCUGGCGUAAUGGCUUUAAGCGACCCGUCUUGAAACACGGACCAAGGAGUCUAACAUGCCUGCGAGUGUUUGGGUGUAAAACCCGAGCGCACAAUGAAAGUGAUAGUUGAGACCUCUGUCAUGGAGGGCAUCGACGCCCGGACUUGAUCUACGGAGACGGUUCCGCGGUAGAGCAUGUAUGUUGGGACCCGAAAGAUGGUGAACUAUGCCUGAAUAGGGUGAAGCCAGAGGAAACUCUGGUGGAGGCUCGUAGCGAUUCUGACGUGCAAAUCGAUCGUCAAAUUUGGGUAUAGGGGCGAAAGACUAAUCGAACCAUCUAGUAGCUGGUUCCUGC